rnacentral:rRNA from 1 species
AUGAACGCUGGCGGCGUGCCUAAUACAUUCAAGUCGAGCGAACGGACGAGAAGCUUGCUUCUCUGAUGUUAGCGGCGGACGGGUGAGUAACACGUGGAUAACCUACCUAUAAGACUGGGAUAACUUCGGGAAACCGUAGCUAAUACCGGAUAAUAUUUUGAACCGCAUGGUUCAAAAGUGAAAGACGGUCUUGCUGUCACUUAUAGAUGGAUCCGCGCUGCAUUAGCUAGUUGGUAAGGUAACGGCUUACCAAGGCAACGAUGCAUAGCCGACCUGAGAGGGUGAUCGGCCACACUGGAACUGAGACACGGUCCAGACUCCUACGGGAGGCAGCAGUAGGGAAUCUUCCGCAAUGGGCGAAAGCCUGACGGAGCAACGCCGCGUGAGUGAUGAAGGUCUUCGGAUCGUAAAACUCUGUUAUUAGGGAAGAACAUAUGUGUAAGUAACUGUGCACAUCUUGACGGUACCUAAUCAGAAAGCCACGGCUAACUACGUG